GAUGAACGCUGGCGGCGUGCCUAAUACAUGCAAGUCGAGCGAACAGACGAGGAGCUUGCUCCUCUGACGUUAGCGGCGGACGGGUGAGUAACACGUGGAUAACCUACCUAUAAGACUGGGAUAACUUCGGGAAACCGGAGCUAAUACCGGAUAAUAUAUUGAACCGCAUGGUUCAAUAGUGAAAGACGGUUUUGCUGGCACUUAUCGAUGGAUCCGCGCCGCAUUAGCUAGUUGGUAAGGUAACGGCUUACCAAGGCAACGAUGCGUAGCCGACCUGAGAGGGUGGUCGGCCACACUGGAACUGAGACACGGUCCAGACUCCUACGGGAGGCAGCAGUAGGGAAUCUUCCGCAAUGGGCGAAAGCCUGACGGAGCAACGCCGCGUGAGUGAUGAAGGUCUUCGGAUCGUAAAACUCUGUUAUUAGUGAAGAACAAAUGUGUAAGUAACUAUGCACGUCUUGACGGUACCUAAUCAGAAAGCCACGGCUAACUACGUG
rnacentral:rRNA from 1 species